GAUGAAGAACGCAGCGAAAUGCGAUACGUAAUGUGAAUUGCAGAUUUCAGUGAAUCAUCGAAUCUUUGAACGCACAUUGCGCCCGCCUGUAUUCUGGCGGGCAUGCCUGUUCGAGCGUCAUUUCAACCAUCAAGCCUUCGCUUGUGUUGGGGCCCCGCGGCUGCCGCGGUCCCCUAAAUCCAGUGGCGGGCUCGUCGUCGUACCGAGCGCAGUAGACAUCCUCGCUCCGGGAACCCGACGGGUGCCGGCCGUGAAACCCCCCACAUCAAGGUUGACCUCGGAUCAGGUAGGAAUACCCGCUGAACUUAAGCAUAUCAAUAAGCGGAGGA
rnacentral:misc_RNA from 1 species